rnacentral:rRNA from 1 species
AUUGAACGCUGGCGGCAUGCUUUACACAUGCAAGUCGAACGGUAACAGGCCGCAAGGUGCUGACAAGUGGCGAACGGGUGAGUAAUGCAUCGGAACGUGCCCAGUCGUGGGGGAUAACUACUCGAAAGAGUAGCUAAUACCGCAUACGAUCUAUGGAUGAAAGCGGGGGACCGUAAGGCCUCGCGCGAUUGGAGCGGCCGAUGUCAGAUUAGGUAGUUGGUGGGGUAAAGGCUCACCAAGCCAACGAUCUGUAGCUGGUCUGAGAGGACGACCAGCCACACUGGGACUGAGACACGGCCCAGACUCCUACGGGAGGCAGCAGUGGGGAAUUUUGGACAAUGGGCGCAAGCCUGAUCCAGCAAUGCCGCGUGCAGGAAGAAGGCCUUCGGGUUGUAAACUGCUUUUGUACGGAACGAAACGGCUCUGGCUAAUACCCGGGGCUAAUGACGGUACCGUAAGAAUAAGCACCGGCUAACUACGUG